AUACGUAGGGAGCGAGCGUUGUCCGGAAUUACUGGGCGUAAAGGGUGCGUAGGCGGCUUGGCAAGUCAGAUGUGAAAUCCCCGGGCUUAACUCGGGAGUUGCAUUUGAAACUGCUAGGCUUGAGUGCAGGAGAGGAAAGCGGAAUUCCUAGUGUAGCGGUGAAAUGCGUAGAUAUUAGGAGGAACACCAGUGGCGAAGGCGGCUUUCUGGACUGUAACUGACGCUGAGGCACGAAAGCGUGGGGAGCAAACAGGAUUAGAUACCCUGGUAGUCCACGCUGUAAACGACGGAUACUAGGUGUGGGGGAGAUACAACCUCCGUGCCGCAGCAAACGCAAUAAGUAUCCCGCCUGGGGAGUACGGUCGCAAGGCUGAA
rnacentral:rRNA from 1 species